GAUGAAGAACGCAGCAAAAUGCGAUAAGUAAUGUGAAUUGCAGAAUUCAGUGAAUCAUCGAAUCUUUGAACGCACAUUGCGCCCGCUGGUAUUCCGGCGGGCAUGCCUGUUCGAGCGUCAUUUCAACCCUCAAGCCCCCGGGUUUGGUGUUGGGGAUCGGCUCUGCCCUUCUGGGCGGUGCCGCCCCCGAAAUACAUUGGCGGUCUCGCUGCAGCCUCCAUUGCGUAGUAGCUAACACCUCGCAACUGGAACGCGGCGCGGCCAUGCCGUAAAACCCCAACUUCUGAAUGUUGACCUCGGAUCAGGUAGGAAUACCCGCUGAACUUAAGCAUAUCAAAGCGGAGGA
rnacentral:misc_RNA from 1 species